AAAAGACUCUCGGCAACGGAUAUCUCGGCUCUUGCAUCGAUGAAGAACGCAGCGAAAUGCGAUACUUGGUGUGAAUUGCAGAAUCCCGUGAACCAUCGAGUCUUUGAACGCAAGUUGCGCCCGAAGCCGUCAGGCUGAGGGCACGCCUGCCUGGGUGUCGCA
rnacentral:rRNA from 1 species